rnacentral:misc_RNA from 1 species
GAUGAAGACGUAGCAAAAUGCGAUAAGUAAUGUGAAUUGCAGAAUUCAGUGAAUCAUCGAAUCUUUGAACGCACAUUGCGCCCGCCAGUAUUCUGGCGGGCAUGCCUGUUCGAGCGUCAUUUCAACCCUCAAGCACAGCUUGGUGUUGGGACUCGCGUUAAUUCGCGUUCCCCAAAUUGAUUGGCGGUCACGUCGAGCUUCCAUAGCGUAGUAGUAAAACCCUCGUUACUGGUAAUCGUCGCGGCCACGCCGUUAAACCCCAACUUCUGAAUGUUGACCUCGGAUCAGGUAGGAAUACCCGCUGAACUUAAGCAUAUCAAUAAGCGGAGGA